rnacentral:lncRNA from 1 species
UAUUUAUGCCCAAUAGGUUGAAUUUUAUAUUUUCAAUUUCAUUCAUGUAGACAUCAAUAUCUGGACGACAUAAACUACAUAAUACAUAGCUUAUGCAAAAUUACUAUUCUCAACUAUUUGGGGGGAAAGAAAGGUCAUUUGAGGGGGGGGGGGGGGGGGGGGGAGAAACUGAUUUUAAGAGAAUCUGUUGUGAUAUAUUGGCGAAUGAAGUAACUUGAUUUCAAGAGAACUUGAUGUAAAAUGUAAGCGCAUCUGAAUGCACAAGCCUCGGAGGAAAAGAAACAGUGCCAGAAUCUCAGCGCCUAAUUAAUUCUUAUUGGCAACGUACAGCGCUGUAUGCACCAUCGAUGAUUAUGUGCAUCAGUGACUCUAAUUUGUUGCCGUCUCAUUUCCAUUUUCCACAGUAAUUUAUCAAAGUAGAAAAUAAAAACUGAGAAACAUAAAGAAUUAAAAUGCUCAAAGAGUAAUGACCAAGCCAGAAAUCAACAAGCUCAGAAGCUUUUAUAGUUUGAUUUUGUAUAAAUUUAAUCGAAACAGAAAAAUGAAAAAGAUCCGGAGCAAAUUAAAACGAGAUCUCAGAAAUCAGAAGAUGAAAAAGUACACAUAUGAUGCUGAGGUUGGUCAGUGAUCACCAGCCGCUCCUGUAAAAUUCCUACCAUACAAUAUGGACGGUAUAGCCACAAAUAUAUAGUGAUAGAAGGGACGGCAGAAGAACUCACAAGAAAACCCUAAUUUAGAUACAAUUACUGUCAUGCCCUCAAGUAGUUGGAAAAAUCCGGG